GGUCAGGUGGUGUAUGUAAUGGUUAACACCCCUGCUAUAUAUGCAGAAGCCCUGGGUUCAAUCCCCAGUCUGGCCA